GUAGGUUCAAGCGGUUGAGGAUAAACAAAAACUUGAUUGGCCUUCAACCCAGUGGCGAAUCCAGGAUUUUCAGUGAGGGGUUCGAAAAAUGAAAAUGUAGUGCUGGGAUUUGAACUUGGAACCUUAAGAUUACGUGGUUUAUUUUAAUCCUAUGUAAACAUAUUGACUCAGAACAACAAGAAGAAACAUUAGUAAGAAAAGGGAAAGGGGAUUUACAGUUCUGGGACUUUUGUUUAUCAGUACUUGUUCUAAUCGAUAGGUGAGAUAAUCGAUAAAGAAUGUGUGGUGAUGAUUCUAUUCUUCUUUCUUUUUCUCGAUAGCCGUGAUCUGUUGCAUUUUUAAAUAGGGUAGAAUCUUUGAUAGACCUAGUUGAUCAGUACGAGUCUGCCUUUUGUUUAUUACGCCAUUUUAGAAUUUCACUUGAACAGUAAACCUUUUCUCUUUUAUUUUUAUAUUUUAUGUCUGGUGUUGCAAAGAUCUAUUGUGUUGAAUGUGUUGUCUCCACUUUGCAUCUUCUUUCUAUAUGUGAUCCUUAAUAUCGUGCGCGUUUGGUGAUCUUAUUAGUUUUUCAUUUUCAACUUCCUCUGUAUGCUUUGCUUUUGAUUGGCAUUGGUGUAUAUGUUAUGUGUUGUGCUUUUGAUAUUCAUGUACCUUUAAGCUCGAUCCCAAUUAAAUACUAGCCAAUUUUAGAGUAGAUAAUCCUGAAGGAAAUGUAGGCCAGGUGGCUGAACUUUGUUUUCUUUUUUUCCUUUUUUAAUACCACUAAGUUGCCUUAGUAGGUGUAUUUUUUAACUAUAUAAUAAGUGGGACUUGAUGGACGACGAAGGAUAUCUAUGUAAUUUACCCCGAAUCUAUUCUUAAAUGUUUUCCAACCACUCUAUUCUUGCUCUGCCGUGUAGACUUUCAGAUAGUACGUGUCAAAUGGUAAAUAACACGUGGCUUUAGCUUUUGCCAAUUCUUUUGGUUCCGUUUUUGCCAUCUGAGAGCAAUCGCUCGGCUUUUCCAUUCUCUUCUCACUCCUCUUUUGUUCUUCUUCCCUUUCUCUCUCUUUCACAGGCCAGCUAAAGCCGACGAAAAAAGAAAAAAAACAACAAAUAAACAUAUACACCAUCAGAGCUUUUUAGGAAAGCCAUCAACGGUCUGAGUCACCGAUGUAGCGACGGUUGACGCCAGAAGCGGCCUUCACCCAAGGACAGAUGCAAGAUUCCCUGCUCAGGUUUCACUUUUUCGCAUCUUAAUCUCUCACCAAAUGCCAUGCAAACCAUCGCCAUGGAGUAGAGUCUCUAAGAAUCCAGAUCUAGUCCUACCAGAUACCCCGACAAGUGAAAGGAGAAGUGCUUUAAUGGCUGGUUUACCUAAUAAGGGGAUUCACAUAGCUGAUGAGGUUCAAAUAUGUUGAUCUAUUUUGUGAAAUUUGUUUCCAGCUUCUUUAGUUACAGUUACUGAAGGGGAAAAUAUAUAUUCCAGGGCGAGCUUCCUAGCAAAUUGCCCAACAAACUUAAGCAAUACCCUUCUUUUUGCCGAAAUGGAACUACAAUAACUGUUAAUUCCUUUGCUAUAGUCAUGGCCAAAGAAGAAAGUCACUGCCUAGGUUACUUGGAAGAUUUCUAUGGGAACAAGAAGGGACAGAAAAAGUUAAAGUGCAGUGGUUUCAACAUUUUCAGGAAGUCCACUGUGUAAUUCCUCAGCUCGAGGUACACCCUAGAGAAGUAUUUAUCACGCCUCAUGUUCAGGCGAUCCAUGUUGAGUGUAUCGAUGGUCCUGCUACAGUUUUGACUCCUAGAGAUUACAACAACGACAUACCAGUAUUUUGACUCCUAGAGAUUACGAGAAAUAUAUCUCUCUUGUCCUGAAAAGUUUGUCCGCUGGUGUCUAUAUGUGCUUUAGGGAAUUCCGAAACAACAAAGUCAUGAAUUGGAUGGUUACUACAAUGAAACAAUAUUUAAGUCAAAGGGUCUUAAGUUGCAUGAAGUAAAAGAUAUAACCCGUGAAGAUCCUUCAGGGCAAGGGCCUAGUCGGGGUAGAAGUGACAGGGAGUAUCCGAAACUGGAGAGUCAGAUAGAAAAAGCUGAACCAACUUGCCCGAAGUUAAAAACAAAAUUGCCAAGCAGAGUACCGGUUGGAAUUCAGCUUGUUGAGCCUCAAUGUAAGCGGUCUUUUGAAUUUGGUGAUAACUUAGAGGUUCUUAGCCAGGAUAGCGGCAUGAGAGGCUGCUGGUUCAGGUGUAAGGUCUUACAGGUAUUACAAAAAUGUCUGAAAAUUCAAUACGAUGACAUCCUGGACUGUGAUGGUCCUGCAAAGCUGGAGGACCUUAAUCGCUGCGACUAUAACUUCAAGUUUAUAUGCAGUAGUAUUUGUAAUUGGACCUUGGAGAACAUAUACAAAAGUAGAAUUAUCACAAAAAUUGAAGUCUCCUAGAUGCCAGCAAUGUCACUUGUAGAAUUGUCUGAAAUCAGUUCUUCUUACCUUCAAGAAAAUCAUUACACCAUCACUUUAUUUAGUUUAAGCACAUUGGCAUCUUGCUUCUUCAUGGAGUGUUGAGAAGUUGACGCCAUUUUUUGUCUUCAGGUGCCACAAGCUUGGGAGCCAUCUGACUUCCGAGGUUCCUGGAUUCUUUGAUACUGCACUUGGAUACCUCAGGUAAAGUCGAGCUUAUGAAUGACUUUACGUCUUUCUUUCCCUUAACUUCAACCCAUUUGUCAUCUAUCCAUAGCUUCAGAGGAAGAACGUGAGGAUUUCACGAGAUUGGAUAGAUUACAAAUGGGUUGAAGUUACGGGAAAGAAAGACGUAAAGUCGUUCUAAGCUCGAGUUUACCUGAGGUAUCCAAGUGCAGUAUCAAAGAAUCUAGGAACCACGGAAGUCAGAUGGCUCCCAAGCUUGUGGCAUCUGAAGACAAAAAAAUGGCGUCAACUUCUCAACACUCGAUGAAGAAGCAAGAGACCAAUGUGCUUAAACUGAAUAAAGUGAUGGUGUAAUGAUUUUCUUGAAGGUAAGAAGAACUGAUUUUAGACAAUUCUACAAGUGACAUUGCUGGCGUCCAGGAGUCUUCAGUUUUUGUGAUAAUGGUGACAUGCUUUUGGUACUGUGGGUAAAUAUUUUGACUUGUAAGUAACUCUCAACGAUGCCCGAUUUGCCUUUUUCAAUAUAUAGGUCUUUGACAACAAAACAUGGAAAAGGCAACUUACAGAACUUAAGGACUAUAGGCAAGUACUCUUCUGUUUAGUAUGUGUUUUGCAUAUUGGCCCAAAAGUUGGUAUGCUCUUGUAUUGUAGACUUUCUUAUUGGAUAUUUAUAAGAGUGUAGCUUUAUGAA